rnacentral:ncRNA from 1 species
UAAUCACAACAUGUUAUAAUAUAUAAUAUUCAACAUAUGAAAUACACAUAUUUAUAAAAAUUUAUAUAUUUAUAAAUUAUAUAUUAUUAUAUAUUUAUAAAUAUUACUUAUAUAUACUUAUAUAGUUAACAUAGUAUUUAUUUUAAGGAAGGAAGGAAAGAAAGGAGGACAUGUGGGGGGUUUGACUGGGGCGGUACACCUGUCACAUGGUAACGCAGGUGUCCUAAGGCGAGCUCAGGGAGGACAGAAACCUCCCGUGGAGCAGAAGGGCAAAAGCUCGCUUGAUCUUGAUUUUCAGUUCGAAUUCAGACCGUGAACGCAGGGCCUCACGAUCCUUCUGACCUUUUGGGUUUUAAGCAGGAGGUGUCAGAAA